rnacentral:other from 1 species
AAUUCCCUACCGUGUUUGUGAUGGAAAGGUAGCAUUUGAGCCAACACCUUUCUGUGGGGAGCCCAAAAUCUGACGGGUGAUGUCACGCCUCUUAACUGAGGAAGGCUGAGCUUGUCAUGAGGGCGACCGCUUUGAACCGACCAGGUUCAAAAGUUCCCUGCCACACGACACCGCGUGGGGAAUUU